ACCUUCACAUUCCCUAUUUGUCUUUGUGCAGUUCAAACAAAAAGGUUUGGUUUCGUCGCACUUGAUCCUGCGACGGCGACAUGUUAAACAUCCAGUUUUCGUUCUUCUUUUUGUGGGCUUGGGCGUAGGCUCGACGUUUGGGUUGGGAAUAUAUAGCGGAUUUGAAUUAAUACUACCCGUUCUAUUCCGUUUCAUAUGAAUUUCGGGAUAAGAAACAUACGGGUUCAUAACUGCAAGGGAAACAAUAGAUAGAAAAAAAAAGAAUAACAAGAUAAUAGGAACUAAACAAAUCAAAAGUAAAGAAAGCCCGAUUUGAAAACGCUACGCUGCUUGAGAAAAGCGCGCAAAGAAAAAACGCAAGCACAGAACAUGAAAUUGGAAGCCGAUUUAUACAAA